UACUGAGUAUGAAGUGUGACAUCAUAAAUAGCCUACAUAACGUACAAGUUCAAUUAACGUCUCGCGCACUAUACUGCCCUUUCAAUGGAACAUAUACGAUCCCUUGGAACUGGAAUCAUACGAAUAGAAACAUGCAAAAUGUCUAAAGCGGUGGUAGCCUACAAGAGAACUGGAAUUGAAAACUGCUGUUUUAGGGUUUAAUAUGAUUUUAAUGCGCGGAAAUGUUAGCAUAAACACAAGAUGUAAAAUCUAAAAGGAAAUCAUUAGGAAAAUUGCGAAAAGAGUUUUCUGUCCAAGCUAAUUUUGUUGAUUUUAUCUAUUAUUGCUGUAUUUGUUUUUAUUGUUUUUCUGUCAUAUAGCCUGAAGAAAAAUAUAUAUAUAUAUAUAAACGUCAGAUUACGUAACUCAGAUUUGUAAAUAAAAAUCUAGCUGUUAUUUUUCAACUUGCUGAAUGUGCAAGUCAGUAGAAGAGUGCCGCUGUAAAACUCUGCUUAUCACGGAUCCUCCGUCACCCGCUUCCUGUGGGAAGUUUACAGUCCAAAUAUGGGCUUCGUGACGUCAAGUUCUUCCUCUGAGGGAGCGUCAGUUGCCCCGCCCACUUCAUCUGGAGCGUUGCGCAGAGGCGCGUUCCCGACACUCACGAGCAACACCUGCUUAACAAGCAAGCAGUUAAGAAAUCCACACACAAUGACAAAUAACACGAACUGAAUCCCACACAGAAGAACAUACAGAAAAUGCCUUUUCUAUCGUAUAAUAAUAGUCAACAAUAAUUAGUUGUUAAACGCCGGUCUCUAAACCAGGUGAAUAGGUUAUUAAUCGUUUGGAUAUUUAGACUCGAAACUCAGGUUCAGCAGUCAAAUUAGACUAGAGGCUUUUUAUAUGUAAUGAUAAUGAAGCCUAUAUACUGAUGCUGCAUAAUUAUACCUGUAAAGUGAGCCAUGAAUGAUUACUCAAUUCUUAAGUAUGUAGAUAAGGUUGACAUGGAUACGAGCCAGUAAAGAUAAUGUAAGCUGAUCCUGCGUGUGAGAGAGAUCUGCCUGAGGCCGGAUCACAUUUACGGGUGCCAGUGACAUCAUCUUUAGGCCACUGCUGUACUGUGUUCAUCAGAUGAUGUCACCGCUGGUGUCAGGGCCAAUCAGGGGUCAGCAAGCGCAGACAAUCAGGGGUCUCCCCUCAGACUCGACCGCGUCUCUGCGUCAGCAAAAAAACACAAGAUGUUUGCUGGAGAUGCCCUGAAGAGCGUUAAACACUGAAGCAGCAGUCAGCAGAAAACAAGGGCCGAGCGCCUCCAGACAGACGAGGGUUAGAGAGGGUCAGAGAGCCAACGCUUCACUGAAACUCACACACAGAAGAGCGUCUGUAAAUACACUGACCUGUCAUGACCACACAAACCGAGCAAUUAACAGCCUGGUAAUGAUGAGUAAUGUCCAUCUCACCAGUACUCUGUGUAAAAAACAGUCCACUAUUAAUCAUACCGAUCUAUUUAUAAUCAAUAAAAUAUAUGAAUAAUUAACUUUUCAC